rnacentral:rRNA from 1 species
AAAAGCUUACCAAGGCGACGAUGGGUAGCCGGCCUGAGAGGGUGAACGGCCACACUGGAACUGAGACACGGUCCAGACUCCUACGGGAGGCAGCAGUGGGGAAUAUUGCACAAUGGAGGAAACUCUGAUGCAGCGACGCCGCGUGAGCGAAGAAGGCUUUCGAGUCGUAAAGCUCUGUCCUAAGAGAAGAAGAAGUGACGGUAACUUAGGAGGAAGCCCCGGCUAACUACGUGCCAGCAGCCGCGGUAAUACGUAGGGGGCUAGCGUUGUCCGGAAUUACUGGGCGUAAAGGGUGAGUAGGUGGUCAUUAAAGUCAGAUGUAAAAGGCAAUGGCUCAACCAUUGUAAGCAUUUGAAACUUAAUGCUUGAGUGCAGGAGAGGUAAAUGGAAUUCCUAGUGUAGCGGUGAAAUGCGUAGAUAUUAGGAAGAACACCAGUGGCGAAGGCGAUUUACUGGACUGUAACUGACACUGAGUCACGAAAGCGUGGGGAGCGAACAGGAUUAGAUACCCUGGU